GACGAACGCUGGCGGCGUGCUUAACACAUGCAAGUCGAACGGAAAGGCCCUGCUUUUGUGGGGUGCUCGAGUGGCGAACGGGUGAGUAACACGUGAGUAACCUGCCCUUGACUUUGGGAUAACUUCAGGAAACUGGGGCUAAUACCGGAUAGGAGCUCCUGCUGCAUGGUGGGGGUUGGAAAGUUUCGGCGGUUGGGGAUGGACUCGCGGCUUAUCAGCUUGUUGGUGGGGUAGUGGCUUACCAAGGCUUUGACGGGUAGCCGGCCUGAGAGGGUGACCGGCCACAUUGGGACUAAGAUACGGCCCAGACUCCUACGGGAGGCAGCAGUGGGGAAUAUUGCACAAUGGGCGGAAGCCUGAUGCAGCAACGCCGCGUGCGGGAUGACGGCCUUCGGGUUGUAAACCGCUUUCGCCUGUGACGAAGCGUUAGUGACGGUAAUGGGUAAAGAAGCACCGGCUAACUACGUG
rnacentral:rRNA from 1 species